GACGAACGCUGGCGGCGUGCUUAACACAUGCAAGUCGAACGGAAAGGCCCUGCUUUUGUGGGGUGCUCGAGUGACGAACGGGUUAGUAACACGUGAGUAACCUGCCCUUGACUUUGGGAUAACUUCAGGAAACUGGGGCUAAUACCGGAUAGGAGCUCCUGCUGCAUGGUGGGGGUUGGACAGUUUCGGCGGUUGGGUAUGGACUCGCGGCUUAUCAGCUUGUUGGUGGGGUAGUGGCUUACCAAGGCUUUGACGGGUAGCCGGCCUGAGAGGGUGACCGGCCACAGUGGGACUGAGAAAGGGGCCGGACUGAUACGGGAGGAAGCAGUGGAGAAUAGUGCACAAUGGGCGGAAGCCUGAUGCAGCAACGCCGCGUGCGGGAUGACGGCCUUCGGGUUGUAAACCGCUGUCGCCUGUGACGAAGCGUGAGUGACGGUAAUGGGUAAAGAAGCCCCGGCUAACUACGUG
rnacentral:rRNA from 1 species